rnacentral:hammerhead_ribozyme from 1 species
GUACUUCUGAAGAGUCCCAAACUAGGACGAAACAGUCUUCUAGUAU